rnacentral:rRNA from 1 species
AGAGUUUGAUCAUGGCUCAGAGCGAACGCUGGCGGCAGGCCUAACACAUGCAAGUCGAGCGGCCGUAGCAAUACGGCAGCGGCAGACGGGAGAGUAACACGUGGGAACGCGCCCUUCGGUUCGGGAUAACUCAGGGAAACUUGAGCUAAUACCGGAUACGCCCUUACGGGGAAAGAUUUAUUGCCGAAGGAACGGCCCGCGUCCGAUUAGCUUGUUGGUGAGGUAACGGCUCACCAAGGCGACGAUCGGUAGCUGGUCUGAGAGGAUGACCAGCCUCACUGGGACUGAGACACGGCCCAGACUCCUACGGGAGGCAGCAGUGGGGAAUAUUGGACAAUGGGCGCAAGCCUGAUCCAGCCAUGCCGCGUGGGUGAUGAAGGCCCUAGGGUUGUAAAGCCCUUUCAGCGGGGAAGAUAAUGACGGUACCCGCAGAAGAAGCCCCGGCUAACUUCGUGCCAGCAGCCGCGGUAAUACGAAGGGGGCUAGCGUUGCUCGGAAUUACUGGGCGUAAAGCGCACGUAGGCGGAUUGUUAAGUCGGGGGUGAAAUCCUGGAGCUCAACUCCAGAACUGCCUUCGAUACUGGCGAUCUAGAGUCCGGGAGAGGUGAGUGGAACUGCGAGUGUAGAGGUGAAAUUCGUAGAUAUUCGCAAGAACACCAGUGGCGAAGGCGGCUCACUGGCCCGGUACUGACGCUGAGGUGCGAAAGCGUGGGGAGCAAACAGGAUUAGAUACCCUUGUAGUCC